rnacentral:rRNA from 1 species
UACGGGGGGGGCAAGCGUUGUUCGGAAUUACUGGGCGUAAAGGGCUCGUAGGUGGCCAACUAAGUCAGACGUGAAAUCCCCAGGCUCAACUUGGGAACUGCGUCUGAUACUGGAUGGCUUGAAUUCGGGAGAGGGAUGCAGAAUUCCAGGUGUAGCGGUGAAAUGCGCAGAUAUCAGGAGGAACACCGAUGGCGAAGGCAGCUCGCUGGGACGGUACUGACGCUGAGGCGCGAAAGCGUGGGGAGCAAACAGG